GAUGAACGCUGGCGGCGUGCCUAAUACAUGCAAGUCGAGCGAACGGACGAGAAGCUUGCUUUUCUGAUGUUAGCGGCGGACGGGUGAGUAACGCGUGGAUAACCUACCUAUAAGACUGGGAUAACUUCGGGAAACCGGAGCUAAUACCGGAUAAUAUUUUGAACCGCAUGGUUCAAAAGUGAAAGACGGUCUUGCUGUCACUUAUAGAUGGAUCCGCGCUGCAUUAGCUAGUUGGUAAGGUAACGGCUUACCAAGGCAACGAUGCAUAGCCGACCUGAGAGGGGGAUCGGCCACACUGGAACGGAGACACGGUCCAGACUCCUACGGGAGGCAGCAGUAGGGAAUCUUACGCAAUGGGCGAAAGCCUGACGGAGCAACGCCGCGUGAGUGAUGAAGGUCUUCGGAUCGUAAAAAUCUGUUAUUAGGGAAGAACAGAUGUGUAAGUAACUGUGCACAUCUUGACGGUACCUAAUCAGAAAGCCACGGCUAACUACGUG
rnacentral:rRNA from 1 species